UACAGAGGCCUCGAGCGUUAGGCGGAAUCACUGGGCUUAAAGCGUGUGUAGGUGGAUGCCUAAGUACCUUGUGAAAUCCCCCGGCUUAACCUGGGAACUGCGUCUGAUACUGGGAGGCUUGAGUAUGGGAGAGGGAUGUAGAAUUCCAGGUGUAGCGGUGAAAUGCGUAGAUAUCUGGAGGAAUACCGGUGGCGAAGGCGGCAUCCUGGACCAUAACUGACGCUGAGGCGCGAAAGCUAGGGGAGCAAACGGG
rnacentral:rRNA from 1 species